AGAUCGAAGACUUUAUGAUUAAGCUAAAUGAGGCAUUAAGAAUUAUAGUGGCCUAACCCACAAAAAGUUGAUAUUUAGAUAAACCCAUAAAACAAUUCCCAAAUAUCCAAAGAAUCGACAGAAAAGUGGCCUAACCCAUUUUAAAUUUUGUACGUAUAGAUGUCGCCACAUGUUUCACUUAUUAUUAUUAUUUACAUGUUAUUUUUUCAUUUUUAAAUAUUAUACUGGCCUAUCGGGGGUAGGCUGUCACUGUCACUGGCCUAACACUGUCAUGUUAGGACUAUCACUUGUUUACUUACGUCUUGCGUUUAGGUUAAAACGUGGCUGUUCUUUUUCUCAGUAAAAGUUGUUUUUUUGAAAAAAAUUGGGUUGUGUUAGUAUGGAGAGUGUGGAUACUUCUUCUGAUUAUUCUGAUCCUUAUGCUACAGAUGAAGAGUCAGAUUAUCAGCCUUCAAGUAGUGAUUCGGAUUCUGAGCCUCAAACGCAAGCUGAGGAUGACAGUGCAGAACAAGGUGGGGCUUUAGUAGAAAAAAGGACAAGGAAGAGAGUACGCGCGGAAGAAAAUUGAAAAUCAAAUAAACGAAAGCUAAGAAGAGCAUCAGGCAUGGAUUAUAUUAAUAUAAAGGGGCAAAAAGUUAAUGCAAAAACAUUUAUUAAACCUGUUUGUAAAUGUAUUAAUAAGUGCUCUGAUAAAAUUAAGGUCGAUCAAUCUAAGAAACCCUUUGAAAAUUUUUAUAGUUUGGCAAAUUUUGACUUGCAGUCGUCGUAUAUAUUUGGACAAGUAAAUGUUAUAAAAAAUCAGGGUAUACACUGAUAAUGCAGGCGAAAUAUGACAAGGGUUUAUAAUUUGCCAAAUAAUGAAAAUGGAAUUGAUGUGAAGGUCUGUAAAGAAUUUUUUAAGCAAGUUUUGCAGAUUUCGGAUGGCAGAUUGUCAAGGGAUCUUCUCAAAAAGUCAGAGGGAAUCCCUCCGAUAGAUAAGCGGGGAAAACAUCCCUCUGCCAGGAGAACGCCCGAUUCAAAGGUUCAAGACGUUAAGACCUUUAUAGAUAGGUUUCCAGUUUUUGAGUCACAUUAUUCUAGAGCUUGUGGGCAACGAAAAUAUUUGGCUCCUUAUUUAAAUAUUCAAAUAUUAUACAAUCCCUAUAAAGAGCAGUACGCGUCACCUGUCAGCAAUUAUGUUUUUAGAAAUAUUUUCAAUACUCACUUCAACCUCCAUUUUCAUGCCCCAAUAACAGAUAGCUGACGCAGAUGCGAUGAUUUCAAUAAUAAAAUUAAAAUAAGUAAUAACGAAGAAAAAAAGAACUUAGAAAUACAAGAGGAGCUACAUCUUCGAAAAGCAAAACUGGCAAGAAAUGAAAUGAAAAAAGAUGAAGAAGAAGCAUUAGUAAAAGAAAACGAGACCGUUGCUAUUGCAUUUGACUUAAUGAAAACUUUACCCACCCCAGUAUUGUCCACAGGAAUUACAUAUUAUAAGCGUCAACUAUGGACAUAUUGCUUGGGAGUCCAUGAUUUAGCCCAUAAUACCGCAGUUAUGUACGUUUGGAAUGAAUCCGUCGCUUCAAGAGGGCCUCAAGAGAUUGGCUCUUGCCUUAUCCACUAUUGCAAAAAUUUUGUGUCAGAAAAAAAAACUUAUCAUGUAUAGCGAUCAAUGUGGCGGCCAGAAUCGCAAUACUAAGAUGGCACUCAUUUGCGACUAUAUAACAAAUUCAGCGCAAUUCUCUAUCACUGAAAUAAAUCACAAGUUUUUAGUAUCAGGUCACUCAUACCUUCCGUGUGAUCAAGAUUUUGGCGUUGUAGAAAAAGAAAAAAAAAUUUCAUAAAGAUGUGUUUAUACCGGAGCACUGGAUGACUGUUAAUAAAGCUGCACGAAAGAGAAAGCCAUUUCGAGUAAUUGAAAUGGAAAAAAAAACAUUUUUUUUCCACGAAGAUACUGGAGGGCGCUAUUACUAAUAGAAAAAGUAGUACAGAUGGCUCUAAGGUAAAGUGGCUAAAAAUGCAAUAUAUUAAAUUUUCGAAUGACACAAAACACCAAUUUCAUUUUAAAUACUCAAACUCAAGGAUGGUCCCAUUUAAUACAGUUUCAGUAGCCAAACGCAAUCCUUGUGAUCCAGUUGAAAAUUUGGAUCUGCUGUAUCCAUUAGGGCGUCCAAUAGAAAAAAAAAAGAUGACAUUAUGGAACUUCUUCCAUAUGUUCCACUAAUUUUUCAUGGCUUUUACCAUAACUUAAAGACAUCUGCCUCAGCGAUUGACGAACUGGGAGAAAACAGAGAUGAUGUGGCUGUGUAGGGCUCCUUGAAUAGACUUUCCUAAUUUUUUCAUGUACUAUCUGUAUUAAAAAUAUACAUUUUUGCAUUAUAA